UCAGGACGAACGCUGGCGGCGUGCUUAACACAUGCAAGUCGAACGAGGAUUACAUUGGAAGGGCUUCGGCCUGGAAGAUGUAAUCGAGUGGCGGACGGGUGAGUAACGCGUGAACAAUCUGUCCCGGACAGGGGAAUAACACUUGGAAACAGGUGCUAAUACCGCAUAAGACCACGCCCUCGCAUGGGGGAGGGGUAAAAGGAGCAAUCCGGUUCGGGGUGAGUUCGCGUCCGAUUAGAUAGUUGGUGAGGUAACGGCCCCACCAAGUCGACGAUCGGUAGCCGACCUGAGAGGGUGAUCGGCCACAUUGGAACUGAGAGACGGUCCAAACUCCUACGGGAGGCAGCAGUGGGGAAUAUUGGGCAAUGGGCGAAAGCCCUGACCCAGCAACGCCGCGUGAGUGAAGAAGGCUUUCGGGUUGUAAAGCUCUGUUAUAGGGGACGAAGGAAGUGACGGUACCCUAUAAGGAAGCCCCGGCUAACUACGUGCCAGCAGCCGC
rnacentral:rRNA from 1 species